UACGUAGGGGGGCAAGCGUUGUCCGGAUUUAUUGGGCGUAAAGAGCGUGUAGGCGGUUUGGUAGGUCCGCUGUGAAAACUCGAGCUCAACCUCGAGACGCCGGUGGAAACCAUCAGACUAGAGUCCGGAAGAGGAGAGUGGAAUUCCUGGUGUAGCGGUGAAAUGCGCAGAUAUCAGGAGGAACACCGGUGGCGAAGGCGGGUCUCUGGGCAGUAACUGACGCUGAGGAGCGAAAGCGUGGGGAGCGAACAGG
rnacentral:rRNA from 1 species